UUUCCACCUCUCCACCUGCCCCCUGACCCUUCCAUUAGAAAUCUAACUGGGGAAUUUAUUCAUUUAAACUGGGAAAAACAAUGAAGUUCACUCCAGGGUCUGUUUUAUUUUUCAGAAGUUGGAGAGGAGCCACAGAGCAGGAGAGAGACUAAUGUAGAAUGGCAUAGAGAAGACAACCUGAAGGACCUGAGAGCCAUCAUUCGCACAGAGUGGCAGCAAGGUCAUCUGGCUAAGGGAUGGUUUGUCCUUUUCCUGCCUUUGAAUCACUGAUGGAGUUAUCAUGAUGGUCAAAGAAAUACCACAGAACCUUUGAAGAAUGAACUUUCCAAACCAUCGGAUUGUUCAGGAGGGGAAAGCCAUCGAAGAUCAAACAAAAUCACCAACAGUAAAAUCAGCUGACCUUUUCUCUGCUCAAGGAUUCUGCUUUAGGAAGCAAAACUAGUCAUGAUUUUUCAAGGGCCUGGACUACAGAAGAGUUUUUUCAGGGACAUGUUCCUCAGUGCCAUUAUAUCCCACGUUUCCCCUAUUUCCCCACUGAUUAGUGAGUCAGUCUAGUCAAAUCUCUUGUUUUUGUUGUCAUCAAAAUUCUGUUUGUUUUAGAAAAAUCAGAAACUCUCUAAAGUGGGACAGACACUACAGAAGAAUCAGAAUGACCAACCAUGGUAGAGUACAAACAAGAACUCUGCAGGUGGUAGGAAUCCAAUAUGCUGCAUGACCUGUUCUGUUUUCUGCAGAUAAGAUUUAUUUGUGAUCCCAUGGAUUAACUUUCAAGCUCUCAGGCAAAGACCUUUAAAGUCUGCAUUGGUGGAGUUUUACAUGAUAUAAAACUAUAACCAAAACGUUCUUAGUGUCUGCAUGCAUCUUUCAUAUUACAUGUAGACCCAGGUCGGAUCUUUUUUUUUAUUUUUAUUUUCCCUUUUUUUUAAA